AUUGAACGCUGGCGGCAUGCCUUACACAUGCAAGUCGAACGGUAACAGGUCUUCGGAUGCUGACGAGUGGCGAACGGGUGAGUAAUGCAUCGGAACGUGCCCAGUAGUGGGGGAUAGCCCGACGAAAGCCGGAUUAAUACCGCAUACGACCUGAGGGUGAAAGGGGGGGAGCGCAAGACCUCUCGCUAUUGGAUCGGCCGAUGUCAGAUUAGCUAGUUGGUGGGGUAAAGGGCUACCAAGGCAACGAUCUGUAGGUGGUCUGAGAGGACGACCAGCCACACUGGGACUGAGACACGGCCCAGACUCCUACGGGAGGCAGCAGUGGGGAAUUUUGGACAAUGGGCGCAAGCCUGAUCCAGCAAUGCCGCGUGCAGGAAGAAGGCCUUCGGGUUGUAAACUGCUUUUGUCAGGGAAGAAAUCUUCUGGGUUAAUACCUCGGGAGGAUGACGGUACCUGAAGAAUAAGCACCGGCUAACUACGUGCCAGCAGCCGCAGUAACAC
rnacentral:rRNA from 1 species